UACGUAGGUGGCAAGCGUUGUCCGGAUUUACUGGGCGUAAAGCGUGCGUAGACGGUUAUUUAAGUCGGGUGUGAAAGCCCCGGGCUCAACCUGGGAAUUGCAUUCGAGACUGAAUAGCUAGGGUACGGUAGAGGGAAGCGGAAUUUCCGGUGUAGCGGUGAAAUGCGUAGAUAUCGGAAGGAACAUCAGUGGCGAAGGCGACUUCCUGGCCUGUUCUUGACGCUGAGGCGCGAAAGCUAGGGGAGCAAACGGGG
rnacentral:rRNA from 1 species